AGACCCGGUUACGGUUUCCUGCCUGGAACCCCACUCCCCACACACGUUACAGACCCGGUUACGGUUUCCUGCCUGGAACCCCGCUCCCCACACACGUUACAGACCCGGUUACGGUUUCCUGCCUGGAACCCCACUCCCCACGCACGUUACAGACCCGGUUAUGGUUUCCUGCCUGGAACCCCGCUCCCCACACACAUUACAGACCCGGAGUGAGAACAGCCACAUGUCCUAAGAGGGUUUCUGAUUUCUGGAAGCUUAAUACUUAUUGAAGCCUGGAUAAAAUCAAUGGAAAGUGCAUAUUGUUCAUGUAGUUUAUUGUGCCUGGAAAUGUUGCAGCUAUUUUCCAUUCUUAUGUAAUGUGUGUUCUACAAAGCUCUAGCCAAGCCAGGAAGCAGAAAGCAGCAGCCAGCACACAUCUAAUGUACUUGGAACCAAGGGGCCAAGACUCUAUACCAGGUGGCUCUGGACUUGCUGGAUGGCUUCGCUCAAUCCGUUUUCAGCAAAAUAAAGAGGGCAGGAAAGUUUUAAAGUGAAGAUGGAGAACAAACUCAAGAGCUUCUGACACUCAAGUCUGUAUAUUUGAUGACUAUUAGACAACUGUCUGGCACUGAAGAAUAGAAGAAAAUGAAAUUGCUAUAUUACUAUUUAUUAAAAUCCAUUCUGGUGCCAGAAUGGGCAGCUGUCGGAUACCACCUAGACCAAUGAAAGCCAACAUUCUAUUUCUUGGGAACCUCGUAAAUUCUCUAGGCUCUUUAUUAAGCAGAGACUACCAUGACUUACACUGGGGAGAAUAAGCAUCAGAAAUUAAAAAGCAAUGAGAUAUUGAAAGCCAUCUGAGAAGAAAGAAAGAAGACUAAGGAAUCAGAAGUAAAAUAUGAAAUAGAAUUAGAAUCACUUAUCCAUGAGCUUGACUAACCCAGGCAUUCAGAAAAAUAUGCAGUUCAAUGUUUCUUUCUCAGUCCCAGGUUCCCAGUCUUGACCACGCACUCUCUAAUCUUUCCUGCCCCCACUUCCUUUCUUACGUUUUACUUUGUCAGAAUAUUCUCUCCCUAAGAAACUUACUUUUAGAAGUAACUGAAACCUCAUAUAUAGUAUUAGACACGUGUUUGCUAAUACUAUAGUACUUUCCAAUCCUUAGUUUCAAUUGUGCCCCAAAUGAACCCUGCCAACUUCUAGCCUUCUUCUGGAUAAGAUGCAAAAAUGGCCAUGGUUUCUGGGGAAACGGUUCAGGUAAUUUAGUGUCCAUAACUUUUCAACCAAACCUUUCUCUUUGGAUCAAAACCCAAAGUAUGAGUUGAAAGCCUUUGCAAAGCAGAAUAAAAGUGGCUACAAGCAGAGGAGGACUGAGAUUGAGUAGAUGAAGGAGAAACAAAACCAGUCCCAUUAAGAAGGUUUCCAUUGAUCCAGAGCCAUGAAUUCACCAACACCACCGUGUCAUUCAAUCCUCUGCAGAUCCUCACCUAACACCUUUGUCUACUCCCUUCUGCUCUAAAGGGAUUUCUCCCUUGGCUGCUCUGAUAGCACACAUUCCUUGACCCCCUCCUGAAUAUCUGGCACUUCUUUCCCUGUCUUUAUUUCAUGUUCUUCUUCCUCCUGGCCAUCCCUUAUAUGCUAUGUUCUCUCAGAAAAAAAGAAGACAGCUAAAGGCAUAAACUUAGACUCUCGUCCUCACCCAUGAUUUCAGGGACAGUAUUUAUAGGAGACUACUCUCAAAGCCAGUCUCCAUUCCAUGAUCCUCUCCUGAGCUCCAUGUCUCAACAUCCAAAUGCCUGCCUGCUAGAGAUACCUUGGUUUCCCACUGAAAUCUGAAUUCAACAUGUCUAAAACUGAACCAGCAUUUUCCCCAAAGUUUGUUUUAUCCUAUAGUUUACAUCUCAAGAUACCUCCAGUAAUAUAGUCACAUAAGUCAGAAACUAUCCUUGACACUUUAUUUUUUCCCAUAGUAAUCAUCAAUACAUCCUGAUGACUUGACUUUGUUUUCAUUCAUUGGAUAGCUCCAAAAUCUGUCUGCUUCCUGUUGGAGAGGCCAGAUAUCUAAUAUGGAAAAUUACUAUUAAUAAAAUGCAGUUUUCAUUUAUUUG